CAGUAGCCGCGGUAAUACGUAGGGUGCAAGCGUUAAUCGGAAUUACUGGGCGUAAAGCGUGCGCAGGCGGUUAUAUAAGACAGAUGUAAAAUCCCCGGGCUCAACCUGGGAACUGCAUUUGUGACUGUAUAGCUAGAGUACGGCAGAGGGGGAUGGAAUUCCGCGUGUAGCAGUGAAAUGCGUAGAUAUGCGGAGGAACACCGAUGGCGAAGGCAAUCCCCUGGGCCUGUACUGACGCUCAUGCACGAAAGCGUGGGGAGCAAACAGGAUUAGAUACCCGGGUAGUCCCUGUCUCUUAUAC
rnacentral:rRNA from 1 species